AGUCGAACGGUGAAGCCAAGCUUGCUUGGUGGAUCAGUGGCGAACGGGUGAGUAACACGUGAGCAACCUGCCCUGAACUCUGGGAUAAGCGCUGGAAACGGCGUCUAAUACUGGAUAUGAGCUGCGGAGGCAUCUUCGUGGUUGGAAAGAUUUUUCGGUUUGGGAUGGGCUCGCGGCCUAUCAGCUUGUUGGUGAGGUAAUGGCUCACCAAGGCGUCGACGGGUAGCCGGCCUGAGAGGGUGACCGGCCACACUGGGACUGAGACACGGCCCAGACUCCUACGGGAGGCAGCAGUGGGGAAUAUUGCACAAUGGGCGGAAGCCUGAUGCAGCAACGCCGCGUGAGGGAUGACGGCCUUCGGGUUGUAAACCUCUUUUAGCAGGGAAGAAGCGAAAGUGACGGUACCUGCAGAAAAAGCGCCGGCUAACUACGUGCCAGCAGCCGCGGUAAUACGUAGGGCGCAAGCGUUAUCCGGAAUUAUUGGGCGUAAAGAGCUCGUAGGCGGUUUGUCGCGUCUGCUGUGAAAACCCGAGGCUCAACCUCGGGCCUGCAGUGGGUACGGGCAGACUAGAGUGCGGUAGGGGAGAUUGGAAUUCCUGGUGUAGCGGUGGAAUGCGCAGAUAUCAGGAGGAACACCGAUGGCGAAGGCAGAUCUCUGGGCCGUAACUGACGCUGAGGAGCGAAAGGGUGGGGAGCAAACAGGCUUAGAUACCCUGGUAGUCCACCCCGUAAACGUUGGGAACUAGUUGUGGGGUCCAUUCCACGGAUUCCGUGACGCAGCUAACGCAUUAAGUUCCCCGCCUGGGGAGUACGGCCGCAAGGCUAAAACUCAAAGGAAUUGACGGGGACCCGCACAAGCGGCGGAGCAUGCGGAUUAAUUCGAUGCAACGCGAAGAACCUUA
rnacentral:rRNA from 1 species